AUAAGUAAUAUACACUUCCAUUCUUGUCUCUCUCCACAGGGCUUAUGAAUUUGUCUAAACCCUAGAACCCAGUGGUUGAAGCGCUGACCAAGAAUUAGCAGAAUUCGAAGCCAAACACUUUGAAUCCGAGUGAAGAACAAGGACUCAGAAGUGCUCCAAGCAAUAAUUGAGACCCAAGUUGAAAGAUAAAAGAUUAUUUCACAACAAAGCAAUGGAGAAAAAACCAGGGAUUACAUUGAAAAACCGUUCAGAAUCUGAAGCUCAACAAGGCCUAUGGCUUUCGCAUAACUUGAAUCUUCGAGACAACAAAACCAUGAAGUACCUUCCUCCCUCCCAGCGAGCAGGGCUGGCCCUGGGGUGAGGCGAUUGAGCCGGUCACCUUGGGCCCCCAAUUUUGAACAAAAUUUAGGGCCCCCAAUUAGGGGAGUGUAUCAUGUCAUGUUAUUUCAUAAUUAUUUUAAUAUUAGCUCAAUUUAUUUA